GUUCAAUCAAUUCGUUGAAAGAUACAUCCCGAAGAAAGGAAAAAAUUACGCUUGCACAAAUUAUGAUGGGUGGCUUGAUGGGACAUAAUUUUGGUACGAUCUAUAUAAUAUGACUUAUCUUGUUAAACUGUUCACAAGUUCUGAUUGUGCCGUAACAUUUGGUGUAUGCCAUCUUCAUGUUAAAAGUUUUUUACUAGUCUUGCUGGAUGGAUAAAUAUAAUUUCAAUCGAUUAUGUCUUCGACAGGUAAAGAAGAAAGACGGGAGGUUGAAAAUGCAAGGAAAUAUUUGGUGUUGUCUCAUACUUGAUUGUGGACUUCUAUUCAUUCCUGGGAGUUGCAACUUGCAAUCCAUUGUGCUUCAUUUUAAGUGUUUUUAAUCAUCAGUGAAGCUUUACAUUUGGCUCAGGGAUUUUGUUU
rnacentral:lncRNA from 1 species